rnacentral:rRNA from 1 species
GACGAACGCUGGCGGCGUGCCUAACACAUGCAAGUCGAGCGGUAAGGCCCCUUCGGGGGUACACGAGCGGCGAACGGGUGAGUAACACGUGAGCAAUCUGCCCUUCACACGGGGAUAACUCCGGGAAACCGAAGCUAAUGCCCGAUACGACCACUUCAGGCAUCUGAUGGUGGUGGAAAGUUCCGGCGGUGAAGGAUGAGCUCGCGGCCUAUCAGCUUGUUGGUGGGGUAACGGCCCACCAAGGCAACGACGGGUAGCCGGCCUGAGAGGGUGACCGGCCACACUGGGACUGAGACACGGCCCAGACUCCUACGGGAGGCAGCAGUGGGGAAUAUUGGACAAUGGGCGAAAGCCUGAUCCAGCAACGCCGCGUGAGGGAUGACGGCCUUCGGGUUGUAAACCUCUUUCAGCAGGGACGAAGCGCAAGUGACGGUACCUGCAGAAGAAGCACCGGCCAACUACGUGCCAGCCGCCGCAGUAAGAC